AACGAACGCUGGCGGCAUGCCUAACACAUGCAAGUCGAACGAGACCGCCGGGUCUAGUGGCGCACGGGGGCGUAACGCGUGGGAACCUGCCCGUAGGUUCGGAACAACUCCCCGAAAGGGGUGUUAAUACCGGAUAAGGUCUUCGGACCAAAGAUUUAUCGCCUUUGGAUGGGCCCGCGUUGGAUUAGGUAGUUGGUAGGGUAAUAGCCUACCAAGGCGACGAUGCAGAGCUGGUCUGAGAGGAUGAUCAGCCACGCUGGGACUGCGACACGGCCCAGACUCCUACGGGAGGCAGCAGUGUGGAAUAUUGGGCGCUGGGCGCAAGCCUGAUCCAGCAGUGCCGCGUGAGUGAUGAAGGCCUUAGGGUUGUGAAGCUCUUUUACCCGGGAUGAUAAUGACAGUACCGGGAGAAUAAGCACCGGCUAACUCCGUG
rnacentral:rRNA from 1 species